rnacentral:rRNA from 1 species
GAUGAACGCUGGCGGCGUGCCUAAUACAUGCAAGUCGAGCGAACGGACGAGAAGCUUGCUUCUCUGAUGUUAGCGGCGGACGGGUGAGUAACACGUGGAUAACCUACCUAUAAGACUGGGAUAACUUCGGGAAACCGGAGCUAAUACCGGAUAAUAUUUUGAACCGCAUGGUUCAAAAGUGAAAGACGGUCUUGCUGUCACUUAUAGAUGGAUCCGCGCUGCAUUAGCUAGUUGGUAAGGUAACGGCUUACCAAGGCAACGAUGCAUAGCCGACCUGAGAGGGUGAUCGGCCCCACUGGAACUGAGACACGGUCCAGACUCCUACGGGAGGCAGCAGUAGGGAAUCUUCCGCAAAGGGCGAAAGCCUGACGGAGCAACGCCGCGUGAGUGAUGAAGGUCUUCGGAUCGUAAAACUCUGUUAUUAGGGAAGAACAUAUGUGUAAGUAACUGUGCACAUCUUGACGGUACCUAAUCAGAAAGCCACGGCUAACUACGUG